rnacentral:rRNA from 1 species
AUUGAACGCUGGCGGCAGGCCUAACACAUGCAAGUCGAACGGUAACAGGGAUCAGCUUGCUGAUUCGCUGACGAGUGGCGGACGGGUGAGUAAUGUCUGGGAAACUGCCUGAUGGAGGGGGAUAACUACUGGAAACGGUAGCUAAUACCGCAUAACGUCGCAAGACCAAAGAGGGGGACCUUCGGGCCUCUUGCCAUCGGAUGUGCCCAGAUGGGAUUAGCAAGUAGGUGGGGUAACGGCUCACCUAGGCGACGAUCCCUAGCUGGUCUGAGAGGAUGACCAGCCACACUGGAACUGAGACACGGUCCAGACUCCUACGGGAGGCAGCAGUGGGGAAUAUUGCACAAUGGGCGCAAGCCUGAUGCAGCCAUGCCGCGUGUAUGAAGAAGGCCUUCGGGUUGUAAAGUACUUUCAGCGGGGAGGAAGGGAGUAAAGUUAAUACCUUUGCUCAUUGACGUUACCCGCAGAAGAAGCACCGGCUAACUCCGUG